rnacentral:rRNA from 1 species
UGGGGAAUAUUGGACAAUGGGGGCAACCCUGAUCCAGCGACGCCGCGUGUGUGAAGAAGGCCUGCGGGUUGUAAAGCACUUUUAGUGGGGAUGAAAAGCACAUCACUAACACUGGUGUGUCUUGACCUAACCCAAAGAAAAAGCACCGGCUAACUCUGUGCCAGCAGCCGCGGUAAUACAGAGGGUGCGAGCGUUAAUCGGAAUUACUGGGCGUAAAGCGUGCGUAGACGGUUAUUUAAGUCGGGUGUGAAAGCCCCGGGCUCAACCUGGGAAUUGCAUUCGAGACUGAAUAGCUAGGGUACGGUAGAGGGAAGCGGAAUUUCCGGUGUAGCGGUGAAAUGCGUAGAUAUCGGAAGGAACAUCAGUGGCGAAAGCGGCUUCCUGGACCAGUACCGACGUUCAGGCACGAAAGCGUGGGGAGCAAACAGGAUUAGAUACCCUGGUAGUCCACGCCAUAAACGAUGAGGACUAGACGUUGGAGGGGUAAGCCUUUCAGUGUCGUAGCUAACGCG